UACGUAGGGGGCAAGCGUUGUCCGGAAUCAUUGGGCGUAAAGCGCGUGUAGGCGGUUUCGUAAGUCUGCUGUGAAAGUCGGAGGCUCAACCUUCGAAAGCCGGUGGAUACUGUGAGACUUGAGUACGGAAGAGGAGAGUGGAAUUCCUGGUGUAGCGGUGAAAUGCGCAGAUAUCAGGAGGAACACCAACGGCGAAGGCAGCUCUCUGGGACGUUACUGACACUGAGGCGCGAAAGCGUGGGGAGCGAACAGG
rnacentral:rRNA from 1 species